AAUAGACCUUAUGCUACCAACCAAUGUUGUAAUCGUUUACAAAGACUCCCAAGACAAAACACAAAUUUUCCAGCCAAUGAAAGAAGGCUAUAGAAAAUUGUUUACAGUGGAAGGCUCUGAUUUGUUAGUUCACUGACAGAGGUCCUAGACUCCUAGGUGACACUGACAGUGUAGUUAAGACAAGGAAGUGUUCGUGAAAACAAGUUCGUGCUAAACUGAAGACACAAUUUGGGAGGAUGGCAUGCAUGCUCUGAUGUCUAACAUUUUUUGGAUUGUGGGAAGGCUUUUGGUUGGAACUUCACAUAUUACUGGUACAAUAGGACAAUUACUGACGCCAUGGUAAAAUAUGGACAUUUACCGACAUCUUUAUUAAGCCGUUCUGUCAUGUUAGAAAAAUUAUUUUAAUAAAAUUUACAAAUGUA